rnacentral:misc_RNA from 1 species
GAUGAAGAACGCAGCGAAUUGCGAUAUGUAAUGUGAAUUGCAGAAUUCAGUGAAUCAUCGAAUCUUUGAACGCACAUUGCGCCCGCCAGUAUUCUGGCGGGCAUGCCUGUCUGAGCGUCAUUUCAACCCUCAUGCCCCUAGGGCGUGGUGUUGGGGAUCGGCCAAAGCCCGCGAGGGACGGCCGGCCCCUAAAUCUAGUGGCGGACCCGUCGUGGCCUCCUCUGCGAAGUAGUGAUAUUCCGCAUCGGAGAGCGAUGAGCCCCUGCCGUUAAACCCCCAACUUUCCAAGGUUGACCUCAGAUCAGGUAGGAAUACCCGCUGAACUUAAGCAUAUCAAUAAGCGGAGGA